rfam:Triticum aestivum genome assembly, contig: Triticum_aestivum_CS42_TGACv1_scaffold_288169_4AL
CAUAUAUUCCCUCCGUUUCGAAUUACUUGUCGCACGUAUGGAUGUAUCUAAAUGUAUUUUUGUUCUAGAUACAUCCAUUUCAGGGACGAGUAAUUUGAAACGGAGGAAAUACAUA